GGGAGAGUGGGGGAUGGAGAGAGAAAUGAAAACAGAGAGGGAGAGAGAGGUAGGGUGAGAGAUGGAGAGAGAGAGAGAGAGAGAGAGAAAAAAAUCAGAGAGGGGAGAGAGAGGAGGAGGUGUGUUAUGUGCCCAGACAAUGUUGUUUCUGCAAUACAUAAUAUAUAUGUUUAUGCAGUAUCAUUGUUUACACUCAUACUACCCUGGAAUUCAGAAUACUGGAAUCACCUGCCUGAGAGUGAUUUACAGUAUACUGUAGCUAACACAGCUACAGCCUCCUGUUUCUACAGUAUACUGUAGCUAACACAGCUACAGCCUCCUGUUUCUACAGUAUACUGUAGCUAACACAGCUACAGCCUCCUGUUUCUACAGUAUACUGUAGCUAACACAGCUACAGCCUCCUGUUUCUACAGUAUACUGUAGCUAACACAGCUACAGCCUCCUGUUUCUACAGUAUACUGUAGCUAACACAGCUACAGCCUCCUGUUUCUAGAGUACCCACGUCCAUUCAGCUACAGCCUCCUGUAUUCUACAGUACCCACGUCCAUUCAGCUACAGCCUCCUGUAUUCUAGAGUACCCACGUCCAUUCAGCUACAGCCUCCUGUAUUCUAGAGUACCCACGUCCAUUCAGCUACAGCCUCCUGUUUCUACAGUACCCACAUCCAUUCAGCUACAGCCUCCUGUAUUCUACAUACCCACGUCCAUUCAGCUACAGCCUCCUGUAUUCUAGAGUACCCACGUCCAUUCAGCUACAGCCUCCUGUAUUCUACAGUAUACUGUAGGUAACACAGCUACAGCCUCCUGUAUUCUACAUACCCACGUCCAUUCAGCUACAGCCUCCUGUAUUCUAGAGUACCCACAUCCAUUCAGCUACAGCCUCCUGUAUUCUACAGUACCCACGUCCAUUCAGCUACAGCCUCCUGUAUUCUACAGUACCCACGUCCAUUCAGCUACAGCCUCCUGUAUUCUAGAGUACCCACAUCCAUUCAGCUACAGCCUCCUGUAUUCUACAGUACCCACGUCCAUUCAGCUACAGCCUCCUGUAUUCUACAGUACCCACGUCCAUUCAGCUACAGCCUCCUGUAUUCUACAGUACCCACGUCCAUUCAGCUACAGCCUCCUGUAUUCUAGAGUACCCACGUCCAUUCAGCUACAGCCUCCUGUAUUCUACAGUACCCACGUCCAUUCAGCUACAGCCUCCUGUAUUCUACAGUACCCACGUCCAUUCAGCUACAGCCUCCUGUAUUCUACAGUACCCACGUCCAUUCAGCUACAGCCUCCUGUAUUCUACAGUACCCACGUCCAUUCAGCUACAGCCUCCUGUAUUCUACAGUACCCACGUCCAUUCAGCUACAGCCUCCUGUAUUCUAGAGUACCCACGUCCAUUCAGCUACAGCCUCCUGUAUUCUACAGUACCCAUGUCCAUUCAGCUACAGCCUCCUGUAUUCUACCGAGGGUCGAGUGUCUGUCUGUUUUUGUUUUUCCCCAAUUCAAUUAAAACCUAGACAACCAGAUGAAGGGAGAUCCUAAUUAAUUAGUGACCUUAAUUCCUCCAGCAAGAACGAGGGUUGGAGCGAAAACCUGCAGACACUCUGUCCUCCGUGCAAUGAGUUCGUGGUCUGUUUGCUACUGUGUGAAAUCCUGCAAUGUGGCUUUGCUUGAAUUCCUCCCCGUUUCUCCAUCCCUCAAAAGAUGGCAGACUUUUUAAAAACUCUGUAUGAAUACUGUCAGAGCCGUAGUCUAGCCGGUGUAUGGCUUAUGAACCUCUCUCUAUAACACGGGCUGAAUACUGUCAGAGCCGUAGUCUAGCCGGUGUAUGGCUUAUGAACCUCUCUCUAUAACACGGGCUGAAUACUGUCAGAGCCGUAGUCUAGCCGGUGUAUGGCUUAUGAACCUCUCUCUAUAACACGGGCUGAAUACUGUCAGAGCCGUAGUCUAGCCGGUGUAUGGCUUAUGAACCUCUCUCUAUAACACGGGCAUAGGCCUGUAAUAUAUUCAGACGCUGCAUUUCAUUUAAUACAACAUGUUGACUUUAAAAAUAAUAAAAAGAAGAAGAAGAAAAUGUAUUUUUUCCAGAAAAGUAUUUUUAGUUUUGUUACCUUUUCCACCUGCGGUAAACGUCGAUUCACACAUACAUGUCCAAACACACGUGUCCAUCCAUACGUACACAGUCCAGUUAACCUCCAGGGGUCUUUCUGUGUUGUGUAUAGAGGGACCUCCUUUAUAGAUCCCUUCUGUCUCCUUCCCCGAUGACGAGCUGUGCUGUUUGGAGAGAGGGCUCCACCUAGAGGCCAAGUGGAGGAAUGACCCCGGGAGUCAGAGGCAAGAGGACACAAACUGUACUCUCUCUCACCAAAGUGUCUCGGAUUGCAAAAUUCCCAGUAGCUCUCAAUGAUACUAUGUUAUGGGAGAGAACAAUAAACGAUGUAGACAGGAUUAGAUUAGACCAGGUUACCCUCCUCUGUUUUAUGGCUUAGAAUGUGCCUAACUGUAACUUAGAGACCCCAACUUCCUGUUUUAACGUUGACAUGUGAAAUGUGAUGCUAGGAGGAACGUUUUCCCGGACACAGAUUAAAGCCCACUUCGUCCUCCUUCUCCAUUGAACGUGUCUCGUAGUCCGGGAUUAUAGGCUUAAUCUGUGUUGGGGAAACGGGUCCUGUGACAACCGUGUAUGUGUGUGUUUUCCCCAUUUCCUGUCCUGUCCUCACAGACCGACUGCCUCUUCUUUAACUACUGAUCAGCUGUCUGUUUUUAGACCCGGAUCACUAGAUCAUCUCCCACUGUCGUCCAUUCAAAAGGUACAUCGAUUCCCUCAUUUACAUACCUAGUGGUGACCUGGUACACAGCCUCUUCCGCUGUGGGCUGCCUAUAACAUACAUACAUACAUACACACACACACACACUGGUGACCUGGUACACAGCCUCUUCCGCUGUGGGCUGCCUAUAACAUACAUACAUACAUACACAUACAUACAGACAGACACUG
ensembl:lncRNA